GCCAAUUUGGUCUAGUGUUUAAGGCACCAGGCUAGAAACCAGGAAACUGUGAGUUCCAAUUCCACCUUAGGCA
rnacentral:tRNA from 1 species